rnacentral:rRNA from 1 species
UGCAUCUGAAAUCAGGCAAGAUCACCCGCUGAACUUAAGCAUAUUACUAAGCGGAGGAAAAGAAAUUAACGAAGAUUGCCUCAGUAGCGGCGAGUGAAGCGGCAAUAGCUCAAGUUUAGAAUCUGUAGUCGUCUCGGCUACCGAAUUGUAAUCUAAAGGGGUUAACUAAAGGGGAAGUUGAGGCAUAAGUUCCUUGGAACAGGACGUCAAAGAGGGUGAAAACCCCGUAUGCAGCCUCCGCUGAACCGACAGUUGGCUUUCUAAGAGUCGGGUUGUUUGGGAUUGCAGCCCUAAACGGGAGAUAAACUUCUUCUAAGGCUAAAUAUCUAUGGGAAACCGAUAGCGAACAAGUACUGUGAAGGAAAGGUGAAAAGAACUUUGAAAAGAGGGUUAAAAGACUUGAAA